CACCUCCAGCAUCCCCAGUAUUGGAGGCACUGCCUGCCCAGUGACUAGACGUUAAACGGCUGCGGUAUCCUGACCGUGCAAAGGUAGCAUAAUCAUUUGUUCUCUAAAUAAGGACUUGUAUGAAUGGCCACACGAGGGUUUUACUGUCUCUUACUUCCAAUCAGUGAAAUUGACCUCCCCGUGAAGAGGCGGGGAUAAACCAACAAGACGAGAAGACCCUAUGGAGCUUUAACUAACUAGCCCAAAGAAAAUAGACUUAACCACCAAGGGAUAACAACACUCUUUAUGGACUAGCAGUUUUGGUUGGGGUGACCUCGGAGAACAAAAAAUCCUCCGAGCGAUUUUAAAGACUAGACUUACAAGUCAAACCAAAUUAUCACUUAUUGAUCCAAAAACUUGAUCAACGGAACAAGUUACCCUAGGGAUAACAGCGCAAUCCUAUUCAAGAGUCCAUAUUGACAAUAGGGUUUACGACCUCGAUGUUGGAUCAGGACACCCCGAUGGUGCAACCGCUAUCAAAGGUUCGUUUGUUCAACGAUUAAAGUCCU
rnacentral:rRNA from 1 species